GGCUCAGGACGAACGCUGGCGGCGUGCCUAAUACAUGCAAGUAGAACGCUGAAGAGAGGAGCUUGCUCUUCUUGGAUGAGUUGCGAACGGGUGAGUAACGCGUAGGUAACCUGCCUUGUAGCGGGGGAUAACUAUUGGAAACGAUAGCUAAUACCGCAUAACAAUGGAUGACACAUGUCAUUUAUUUGAAAGGGGCAAUUGCUCCACUACAAGAUGGACCUGCGUUGUAUUAGCUAGUAGGUGAGGUAACGGCUCACCUAGGCGACGAUACAUAGCCGACCUGAGAGGGUGAUCGGCCACACUGGGACUGAGACACGGCCCAGACUCCUACGGGAGGCAGCAGUAGGGAAUCUUCGGCAAUGGGGGCAACCCUGACCGAGCAACGCCGCGUGAGUGAAGAAGGUUUUCGGAUCGUAAAGCUCUGUUGUAAGUCAAGAACGAGUGUGAGAGUGGAAAGUUCACACUGUGACGGUAGCUUACCAGAAAGGGACGGCUAACUACGUGCCAGCAGCCGCGGUAAUACGUAGGUCCCGAGCGUUGUCCGGAUUUAUUGGGCGUAAAGCGAGCGCAGGCGGUUUGAUAAGUCUGAAGUUAAAGGCUGUGGCUCAACCAUAGUUCGCUUUGGAAACUGUCAAACUUGAGUGCAGAAGGGGAGAGUGGAAUUCCAUGUGUAGCGGUGAAAUGCGUAGAUAUAUGGAGGAACACCGGUGGCGAAAGCGGCUCUCUGGUCUGUAACUGACGCUGAGGCUCGAAAGCGUGGGGAGCGAACAGGAUUAGAUACCCUGGUAGUCCACGCCGUAAACGAUGAGUGCUAGGUGUUGGAUCCUUUCCGGGAUUCAGUGCCGCAGCUAACGCAUUAAGCACUCCGCCUGGGGAGUACGACCGCAAGGUUGAAACUCAAAGGAAUUGACGGGGGCCCGCACAAGCGGUGGAGCAUGUGGUUUAAUUCGAAGCAACGCGAAGAACCUUACCAGGUCUUGACAUCCCGAUGCUAUUUCUAGAGAUAGAAAGUUACUUCGGUACAUCGGUGACAGGUGGUGCAUGGUUGUCGUCAGCUCGUGUCGUGAGAUGUUGGGUUAAGUCCCGCAACGAGCGCAACCCCUAUUGUUAGUUGCCAUCAUUCAGUUGGGCACUCUAGCGAGACUGCCGGUAAUAAACCGGAGGAAGGUGGGGAUGACGUCAAAUCAUCAUGCCCCUUAUGACCUGGGCUACACACGUGCUACAAUGGUUGGUACAACGAGUUGCGAGUCGGUGACGGCAAGCUAAUCUCUUAAAGCCAAUCUCAGUUCGGAUUGUAGGCUGCAACUCGCCUACAUGAAGUCGGAAUCGCUAGUAAUCGCGGAUCAGCACGCCGCGGUGAAUACGUUCCCGGGCCUUGUACACACCGCCCGUCACACCACGAGAGUUUGUAACACCCGAAGUCGGUGAGGUAACCUUUUGGAGCCAGCCGCCUAAGGUGGGAUAGAUGAUUGGGGUGAAGUCGU
rnacentral:rRNA from 1 species